rnacentral:rRNA from 1 species
CCUACGGGAGGCAGCAGUAGGGAAUAUUGGUCAAUGGACGAAAGUCUGAACCAGCCAUGCCGCGUGAAGGAUGAAGGUCCUCUGGAUUGUAAACUUCUUUUAUCUGGGACGAAAAAAGGGCUUUCUAGCUCACUUGACGGUACCAGAGGAAUAAGCACCGGCUAACUCCGUGCCAGCAGCCGCGGUAAUACGGAGGGUGCAAGCGUUAUCCGGAUUUACUGGGUUUAAAGGGAGCGUAGGUGGGCAGGUAAGUCAGUGGUGAAAUCUCUGGGCUUAACCCGGAAACUGCCAUUGAUACUAUCUGUCUUGAAUAUCCUGGAGGUAAGCGGAAUAUGUCAUGUAGCGGUGAAAUGCUUAGAUAUGACAUAGAACACCCAUUGCGAAGGCAGCUUACUACGGGAUUAUUGACACUGAGGCUCGAAAGCGUGGGGAUCAAACAGGAUUAGAUACCCUGGUAGUCCACGCCCUAAACGAUGGAUACUCGACAUCAGCGAUACACUGUUGGUGUCUGAGCGAAGCAUUAAGUACUCCCACCGUGGGAACGUACGACCGCGAAGGUUAGAACUACGAAAGGUAAGUUGACCGGUGNGAGACGCGACGACGACGACGACGGAGGGAGGAGG